UACGGGGGGGGCAAGCGUUGUUCGGAAUUACUGGGCGUAAAGGGCUCGUAGGCGGCCAACUAAGUCGGAUGUGAAAUCCCCAGGCUCAACCUGGGAACUGCAUCCGAUACUGGAUGGCUUGAAUUCGGGAGAGGGAUGCAGAAUUCCAGGUGUAGCGGUGAAAUGCGUAGAUAUGUGGAGGAAUACCGGUGGCGAAGGCGGCCUCCUGGCUUAAUACUGACGCUGAGGUGCGAAAGCGUGGGGAGCAAACAGG
rnacentral:rRNA from 1 species